rnacentral:rRNA from 1 species
GAUGAACGCUGGCGGCGUGCCUAAUACAUUCAAGUCGAGCGAAUGGAUUAAGUGCUUGCUCUUAUGAAUUUAGCGGCGUACAGGUGAGUAACACGUGGGCAACCUGCCCCUCACUUCGGGAUAACUCCGGGACACCGGGGCUAAUACCGCAUAUGACCUCCCUGGGCAUCCAUGGGGGUGGAACGGUUUCCGGUGAGGGAUGGGCCCGCGACCUAUCAGCUUGUUGGUGAGGUAGUGGCAAACAAAGGAGACGACGGGUAGCCGGCCUGGGAGAGCGACCGGCCACACUGAAACUGAGACCCGGCCCAGACUCCUACGGGAGGCAGCAAUGGGGAAUAUUGCGCAAUGGGCGAAAGCCUGCCCCAUCAACGCCGCGUGCGGGCUGACGGCCUUCGGGUUGUAAACCGCUUUCAGCAGGGAAGAAGCCGCAAGGUGACGGUACCUGCAGAAGAAGCACCGGCUAACUACGUGCCAGCAGCCGCGGUAA